CAGUAGCCGCGGUAAUACGGAGGAUCCAAGCGUUAUCCGGAAUCAUUGGGUUUAAAGGGUCCGUAGGCGGUCUUGUAAGUCAGUGGUGAAAGCCCAUCGCUCAACAGUGGAACGGCCAUUGAUACUGCAGGACUUGAAUUAUUGGGAAGUAACUAGAAUAUGUAGUGUAGCGGUGAAAUGCUUAGAGAUUACAUGGAAUACCAAUUGCGAAGGCAGGUUACUACCAAUUGAUUGACGCUGAUGGACGAAAGCGUGGGUAGCGAACAGGAUUAGAUACCCCUGUAGUCCCUGUCUCUUAUAA
rnacentral:rRNA from 1 species